GACGAACGCUGGCGGCGUGCUUAACACAUGCAAGUCGAGCGGUAAGGCCCUUCGGGUACACGAGCGGCGAACGGGUGAGUAACACGUGGGUGACCUGCCCUUAGCUCUGGGAUAAGCCUGGGAAACUGGGUCUAAUACCGGAUAUGACCUCAUGACGCAUGUUGUGGGGUGGAAAGCCUUGUGCGGCUAGGGAUGGGCCCGCGGCCUAUCAGCUUGUUGGUGGGGUGAUGGCCACCAAGGCGACGACGGGUAGCCGGCCUGAGAGGGCGACCGGCCACACUGGGACUGAGACACGGCCCAGACUCCUACGGGAGGCAGCAGUGGGGAAUCUUGCGCAAUGGGCGAAAGCCUGACGCAGCGACGCCGCGUGAGGGAUGACGGCCUGG
rnacentral:rRNA from 1 species